GUGCUGGCUUAGGCAGAACAUAUACUAAAAAUGUAAGAAUACAGAGACGAUUAUUAGUGGGGCCCCUGCGCAACGAUAAGGCACAAAUUUGUAAAAUAUCCCAUAUUUUU
ensembl:snRNA U6 U6 spliceosomal RNA